UACAGAGGUCCCAAGCGUUGUUCGGAUUCACUGGGCGUAAAGGGUGCGUAGGCGGUCGGGUAAGUCUGAUGUGAAAUCUCACAGCUUAACUGUGAAACUGCAUUGGAUACUAUCCGGCUCGAGGAAUGGAGGGGAGACUGGAAUACUUGGUGUAGCAGUGAAAUGCGUAGAUAUCAAGCGGAACACCAGUGGCGAAGGCGAGUCCCUGGACAACUCCUGACACUGAGGCACGAAAGCUAGGGGAGCAAACAGG
rnacentral:rRNA from 1 species